rnacentral:sRNA from 3 species
AUAUCUCUCCGUACGGGAAGGAUGAGAAGCUUCGACUAAGGUUCGAUUCGAGCGAAAGCGAGAAAGCGUUGCCGCAGGCAACGACCCGAAGGGCGAAGCGCGCAGCGCUGAGUCAACCUUCCCCCACCACCA